AGAAAGUUUUAUCUUAGCUUUAAAAUUAUUGUAUUUAAAGAUAUAUGUAAGUUUUUUUUUAAAUAGAGCGGAAGCAGUAUAUAGUUUUAAAAAUUUAAGUGAUGUUAGAAUUAGUUAUAAAUAUAAAAUUGGUUAAAUUCGUGCCAGCAGCUGCGGUUAUACGUAUGAUUUAAAUAAUUUAUAUUGGUUAAAGAUAGAUGUAGACAAAUAAUAUAUUAAAGGGGCUAUUAGGUGAAAUUAGAGCCCCUUAAUUAGUUUUAUUGAGAAUUUGAUUCUUUGGAGGAUAAAAUUUAAACUAGGAUUAGAUACCCUAUUAUUUUGUAAUAAUUUUUGUAAUCAGAGUAGUAUUAGAUUAAACUUAAAACUCAAAAGAUUUGGCGGUAAUUAUUCAGUUCAGAGGAACCUGCCCCGUAAUCAAUACUACAUGAGAGUAGUUACUUAUAUUUAGUUUAUAUAUCGUCGUAAAAGAAUAUUUUUUAAGGAUAAAAAAUUUCAGGAAAUAAAAUUUAUGAUUAUAUUUCAGAUCAAGGUGUAGCUUAUAUAUAAGAGGUGGUGGGUUACAAUUAAUUAUAUUAAAUAUGAAUAUUGGUCGUAAAGAUUGAUUGAAGGUGGAUUUGUUAGUAAAGUUAUUUAAAUUAACUGAUUUGAAUUUUGUUCAUAGUUAUGUACAUAUCGCCCGUCACUCUCGUUAUAAUAUGAGAUAAGUCGUAACAAAGUAGAUUUACCGGAAGGUGAAUCUAGGAAGAU
rnacentral:ncRNA from 1 species